CCAAAACGCGAAGGCAAGAGUACACAUUUAUAUAUUCAGUUCACUUAAACCUAAGUUUUUGGUAAAAGUGUACAUUUCCCAAAAGUGUACAUUUACCGUAACAUGUAUACAUACAAUUUAGUGUAUCUUUGUAUGCUAUAGAUCUGUGACAGAUACGUUUGACCUCUGGAAGAUUUUGUAGGUAUUCUUUUGAUCUAAGAACCUCCCUGACCCCAGAUCGGAUUAGAUAUUUUUGGUAGCGUUUUUCGUUCAUGGACAUGUGAUGAGACGAAAUGACAAUGAAGUUGGUAAAAGAGUACUAACUAUGAAUGUGGAAGAUAGACCUGUGUAAAGGUAGACCUAAGAAGAAAUGGAUGGUUUGCGUGAAAGACGAUAUAUUGUUUAAGAGGGGACUGAGCGAAGAAAUGGUAUAUGAUAGAGGAGUAUGGAAGGAGAAAACAUGUUGCGCCGACCCCAGGUGCCUGGGAGAAGGGCAGGCGAAUGAUGAUGGUAGCGUUUUUCGUUCGCGUUUGAGAACCAAUUAGAAUUUUGGUCACGUCUUAUUGUCUGAUCACAAUCUCACCAUGCAAAUACUAAUGACUAACAUGACCAUACGUCCCGCUUUGGGCGGAAUUGUCCCGCUGUCCCCAACGAGUACAAAAAUGUCCCGUUUUCAUUUAUCUGUUGUGCAUGUGUUCAUUAGAAACUUACCGAGUACUUACUUAUCCCAAAUCCUUAUUGUAUUACUAAAUACCUACAUACUACUAAAGUAAUUCUAAUUUUGCUGUAGAAAAGUAGUUUUUUGUUGCGAAAUUAUUUAUAAAUAUUAUUGUAAGGGCAAGUCGGUGUAAGAAUUAAGAUCUCAGUGAGGGUAACAGCUGAUGGUUACAGGAAAGGUAGAUGGCAAACGUCCCAGAGGACGCAGUCCCACGAGAUGGUCGGACCAAAUACGAUCUUCUCUGAGCAUCAAUUUCCACAAUGCCCUUCAUGAAGCAAAGGAUCGCGGCAGAUGGAGGGAAGUCGUACGGGAGAAACUGAUGCAGCGGGGGAGUCUCGACCCUCAGUAAUGAGGAAAACGACGCGAGGAGGAGGGGGCGGCGCGGCCCUGGGAUGCGAUGCACUGCAUAUCAGACGAGGACGAGGACGGUGACCGGUGCUUGAGGUGCCUAAAAGCUCCGAGAAUGAAUCCGGAGGAUCCGACAAGACAUGUUUCUGGCGACGGCGGCUUUGCGUUGUCCCGUUCUUUAUUCGUUCCACCUAUCUAUAUCUCUACUUUGGACCCAAAAGCAUCUGUGAAGGCUUAAUCAUAUAAAAAAAUCCUUUUUCCAACAUUCUCAAGAAAAGCUUGCUUAUGCAAGUUCCGAUCAUCAUUUGAACCCUGACCUUACCUUUGACGUUGCUCUUAAACCGUAUGUCUCGUUAGGCUAUUAAAGAUGUUUUUCCAAUGCGUUCGUGUUAUUUGAGAAUGGCUGAGCGCUAGGAUUUUAUUGCUUAGAUGGGUGGACGAGCUCACAGCCCACCUGGUGUUAAGUGGUUACUGAAACCCAUAGACAUCCACAACGUAAAUGCGCGACCCACCUUCUAAGGUCUCAAGUAUAGUUACAACGGCUGCCCCGCCCUUCAAACCGAAACCCAUGACUGCUUCACAGCAAAUAUAGGCAGGGUAGUGGUACCUACCCGUGUGGACUCACAAGAGGUCCUACCACCAGUAAAGAAUUAGGAAUUAGGAGUGUUCCAUAUUACGCGACACGACCCUUAAAUUUAAACGAAUAUUUAUUAUCAACUUGAUAUCGCUUCUGACCUUAAGACCCAAUGAAACAGAAUCUACAUUUUAAUAGUGGCCUUGGAUUGUGCCGUGCAUGUUAAUUUACGAUUUUAGUCUGUAUUUAUAAUUUUGAAGUGAAACUUUUUUUAGGCGCGCUGAGAGUAAAAUUUAACUCGUGACAAAUCCGUUACGGCUAGAGAGAAAAGAUACAAUUUAGGAAGAGCGAGAGUGAGAAGAUAGACAGAGCGUCCAGCGAACCACUGUUUACGGGCGUCGACCACUAGAUGGCUUGUAAUAAAACUAAUAGUUUCUCAUUGCUCCUGUAGAUGGCAGUAACAACUUAACUAUCUUGUGAUGUUUUAUUUAGUUUAGCGACAUCUAUUGGUUUUCACAUAAACUACUACAUUGCAAGGACAACGGUGUGACCAGCUUAGUUUCUAAAAUAUUUACAGAUAGCGGUAUUUUAAAUAAAAGUUAUUUAGAAGAAAAAAAACACUACAUAGCAAAAGAAGUUUCACUUUUUUCACGUGCACCAAGUUGCAUACGCAUCAUUUUGUUCCCCCAUUGUAUUCUUCACUUAUACUAUUUUGAAUUUCCAUCUAUAACUAACUAAUCUAAGCACGAUAAAGCACCUCAAUGGCCAUUUACAUAUAUUCUGAAUAAAUGAUCACUUUGUAACACUUAGUACACUUGAUAACAUUAAUGAAUUCAAUAAAUUUUCUGGUUUGAU